rfam:Myotis brandtii contig191372, whole genome shotgun sequence.
CUGUCUCUUGCUUCAAUCGUGUUUGGACAGACCAG